GAACUGUUCAUUUUUUUGUUCUACAUCAUAAAGGUUCAGUUUUCUUCCUUCUGCAGUCUUUGUUUCCUGGCUCUGAUGAUGUUUCCUUAAAGAAGAUGCUGUGUGCUUGUUCUACAGCUGCCUGUGGCCAUCAGGAAUGGAUGCACAUGGAAGAAUCUGGGCAAACACACAUCUGACUGGCACUCUCAGGGACAAGUCAUCCCCCUUUUCUGGGGAGUGGAAAGAUUCUUCAGCGCAGGGAAGAGUGUGUUCCUGACCAGACGUCCAAGAGAACCUGACCUGUUUCCCAGAGGUAAGCCCACCACUCUAGGUGCUAGAGAAGCAAGUCAGGAGUCAGAAAUGGUGUGA
rnacentral:lncRNA from 1 species